GGGUCAGUAGGUUGGUCGUGCCACCGGUACGUACUGGUCUCACUGAUUUCUCCUUCCUGAAGAACCGUAAUGCCAUUAAUUUGGUGUUGCGGGGAAACAGGACUGUUACUUUGAAAAAAUUAGAGUGUUUAAAGCAAGCUGACGCUUGAAUACAUUGGCAUGGAAUAAUGAAAUAGGACGAUCGAUCCUAUUUUGUUGGUUUCUAGGAUUGACGUA
rnacentral:rRNA from 1 species